AAAGUGCUAGUAAUAAAAUAUUACACUGCCUUGUCAAGGCAGAGUCGUGGGUUAAACUCCCACGCACUUUA
rnacentral:tRNA from 1 species